rnacentral:rRNA from 1 species
UGGGGAAUAUUGCACAAUGGGCGCAAGCCUGAUGCAGCCAUGCCGCGUGUAUGAAGAAGGCCUUCGGGUUGUAAAGUACUUUCAGUCGGGAGGAAGGUGGUAAGGUUAAUAACCUUAUCAAUUGACGUUACCGACAGAAGAAGCACCGGCUAACUCCGUGCCAGCAGCCGCGGUAAUACGGAGGGUGCAAGCGUUAAUCGGAAUUACUGGGCGUAAAGCGCACGCAGGCGGUUGAUUGAGUCAGAUGUGAAAUCCCCGGGCUUAACCCGGGACUUGCAUCUGAUACUGGUCAGCUAGAGUCUUGUAGAGGGGGGUAGAAUUCCAUGUGUAGCGGUGAAAUGCGUAGAGAUGUGGAGGAAUACCGGUGGCGAAGGCGGCCCCCUGGACAAAGACUGACGCUCAGGUGCGAAAGCGUGGGGAGCAAACAGG